UAGAUACCCUAUUAUUUCAGUAAGAAGAUUAAAAUACUUGAGUAGUAAUUAGUUAUGUUCUUGAAACUUAAAGAAUUUGGCGGCAUUUUAGUCUGAUUAGAGGGGCCUGUUCUGUAAACGAUAUAACGCGUGAAAUUUUUCUUUUUUUUGUAAUUACAGUUUGUAUAUCGUCAUUAUAAAUGAUUUAAAGAAAUAUAUAUUGGGAUAAGUUAAUUAUUUAGUAUAUUAGAUCGAGGUGCAGCUUAUGGAGGAGUGAGAAAUGGGCCACAAUAAAAUAAAUUUAAACGGAUUUUUGAAGUUGAAAAUAGCUUUUUUUAAAGGUGGAUUUAGGAGUAAUUAUAUUUUAAUAGGAUAUAGUGAUUAUAAAGCUCUAAAAUGUGUACACAUCGCGC
rnacentral:rRNA from 1 species